AAAGUCGUAACAAGGUUUCCGUAGGUGAACCUGCGGAAGGAUCAUUGACAAAUCUAAACACAACAACAUACUAACCUGUGAAUUGCAGCGCAGCUGUCUCGGUUAGAGGGCAGAGUAAUUUUGCUAUUUACUCCCCCCCCUCUGUGCCAACAACACAUUUACACAAUUGUCUUACACAACAACAAAACAACAGUAAACAACUUUUAGCAAUGGAUCUCUUGGCUUCU
rnacentral:misc_RNA from 1 species